UCAAUAGCGUAUAUUAAAGUUGUUGCAGUUAAAAAGCUCGUAGUUGAAUUUCGGGAUCAGUUGGUCGGUCGUGCCUCGGUACGUACUGGUCAAAUUGAUUCCUACCUUCUGACGAACCACGAUGUCAUUAAUUUGGUGUCGCGGGAAAUCAGGACUGUUACUUUGAAAAAAUUAGAGUGUUUAAAGCAAGCUCGCGCUUG
rnacentral:rRNA from 1 species